UACGUAGGGCGCAAGCGUUGUCCGGAAUUAUUGGGCGUAAAGAGCUCGUAGGCGGCUUGUCACGUCGGGUGUGAAAGCCCGGGGCUUAACCCCGGGUCUGCAUUCGAUACGGGCUAGCUAGAGUGUGGUAGGGGAGAUCGGAAUUCCUGGUGUAGCGGUGAAAUGCGUAGAUAUCGUAAGGAAGACCAGUGGCGAAGGCGAGUCUCUGGACAGUUACUGACGCUGAGGCACGAAGGCCAGGGGAGCAAACGGG
rnacentral:rRNA from 1 species